CAACCCCCCCCCCCCAGCUGAGUGGAGGAGUUGAUAUGUCUCAUUAUAACAGCCAAUGCAGCCGCCAUCCACGCACAAGCAAAGAAGCAUGUCCCAUUUAAAUACACCCACGCAGCCCCAGCGCCCUUAGCCGAUCAGGGCGCGCAGCCCACACGCACCGCGGCUCCGGGCUUGGAGAUCCGCGCAGGUCGGGCUCCGGGAUCCCGCGGAUCGACACUCUCGGAAGAUCGGGAUCGCACUCUGGUUGGGGCCCGGGUGGGCGGGGGAGGCUGGGCCCCGGGCCUCUCUGGCGGACAGCCGCAUGAGGACGCGAGCGACAUAGACCAGGGUGGAAUUGCCAAGGCAGACGCUUCGGGCUGGUUUUGGUCUAUUUCUCCCGCGAAGAGUCGACAUGGCGAGCGACUCCCCAGCUCGCAGCCUGGAUGAAAUCGAUCUCUCCGCCCUGAGGGACCCUGCAGGGAUCUUUGAGUUGGUGGAACUUGUCGGAAAUGGGACGUAUGGUCAAGUGUAUAAGGGACGUCAUGUCAAAACAGGACAGCUUGCAGCCAUUAAGGUUAUGGAUGUCACAGGGGAUGAAGAGGAAGAAAUCAAACAAGAAAUUAACAUGUUGAAGAAAUAUUCUCAUCACAGGAACAUUGCAACAUACUACGGUGCUUUCAUCAAGAAGAACCCUCCAGGCAUGGAUGACCAACUAUGGUUGGUGAUGGAGUUCUGUGGUGCUGGCUCAGUCACGGACCUGAUCAAAAACACGAAAGGCAACACGCUGAAAGAAGAGUGGAUUGCAUACAUCUGCAGGGAGAUCUUACGGGGCCUGAGUCACCUGCACCAGCACAAAGUGAUUCACCGAGAUAUUAAAGGGCAGAACGUCUUGCUGACUGAAAAUGCAGAGGUUAAGCUAGUGGACUUUGGAGUGAGUGCCCAACUUGACCGAACAGUGGGCAGGCGGAACACAUUCAUUGGGACCCCCUACUGGAUGGCACCAGAAGUCAUUGCCUGUGAUGAGAACCCAGAUGCCACAUAUGAUUUCAAGAGUGACUUGUGGUCCUUGGGAAUCACAGCCAUUGAGAUGGCAGAAGGUGCACCCCCCCUCUGUGACAUGCAUCCCAUGAGAGCCCUCUUCCUCAUUCCCCGGAACCCAGCACCUCGCCUCAAGUCUAAGAAGUGGUCAAAAAAAUUCCAGUCAUUUAUUGAGAGCUGCCUGGUGAAGAAUCAUGGCCAGAGGCCAGCCACAGAGCAACUGAUGAAGCACCCAUUCAUACGAGACCAGCCUAACGAGAGGCAGGUCCGCAUUCAGCUCAAGGACCAUAUCGACAGGACAAAGAAGAAGCGAGGGGAGAAGGAUGAGACUGAGUAUGAAUACAGUGGAAGUGAGGAGGAAGAGGAAGAGAAUGAUUCCGGGGAACCCAGCUCCAUUCUGAACUUACCAGGGGAGUCAACACUGCGGCGAGACUUCCUGAGACUGCAGCUGGCCAACAAGGAACGCUCAGAGGCUCUGCGGCGACAACAGCUGGAGCAGCAGCAGAGGGAGAAUGAAGAACACAAGAGGCAGCUACUGGCUGAGCGUCAGAAGCGCAUUGAGGAGCAGAAAGAGCAGAGGAGGAGGCUGGAGGAGCAACAAAGGCGUGAGAAGGAGCUCCGGAAGCAGCAGGAACGGGAACAGCGCCGGCACUAUGAAGAGCAGAUGCGCAGGGAGGAGGAGAGGAGGCGUGCAGAGCAUGAACAGGAAUACAUCAGGCGACAGUUAGAGGAAGAGCAAAGACAGUUAGAGAUCUUACAGCAGCAGCUACUGCAUGAACAAGCUCUACUUCUGGAAUAUAAGCGCAAACAACUGGAAGAACAGAGGCAAGCAGAAAGACUUCAGCGGCAGCUAAAGCAAGAGAGAGACUACCUUGUUUCCCUCCAGCAUCAGCGACAGGAGCAGAGGCCCCUGGAGAAGAAGCCACUGUACCAUUACAAGGAGGGCAUGAGCCCCAGUGAGAAGCCAGCAUGGGCCAAAGAGGUAGAAGAGCGCUCAAGACUAAACCGACAGAGUUCACCUGCCAUGCCUCACAAGGUUGCCAACAGGAUCUCUGACCCCAACCUGCCCCCAAGAUCGGAGUCCUUCAGCAUUAGUGGGGUUCAGCCUGCUCGGACACCGCCAAUGCUCAGACCUGUUGACCCCCAGAUCCCACAGCUGGUAGCUGUCAAAUCCCAAGGACCUGCUUUGACGGUCUCCCAGUCAGUGCAUGAGCAACCCACAAAGGGCCUGUCUGGGUUCCAGGAGGCUCUGAACGUGACCUCUCACAGGGUUGAGAUGCCACGCCAGAACUCGGAUCCCACCUCGGAAAAUCCUCCUCUCCCCACUCGCAUUGAAAAGUUUGACCGAAGCUCUUGGUUACGACAGGAAGAAGAUAUUCCACCAAAGGUGCCUCAAAGAACAACUUCUAUAUCCCCAGCAUUAGCCAGGAAGAAUUCCCCUGGGAAUGGCAGUGCUCUGGGCCCCAGACUCGGAUCUCAACCUAUCAGAGCAAGCAAUCCUGACCUCCGCAGAACAGAGCCUGUCCUGGAGAGUCCAUUGCAGAGGACCAGCAGUGGCAGUUCCUCCAGCUCCAGCACUCCCAGCUCCCAGCCCAGCUCCCAAGGAGGCUCUCAGCCUGGGUCACAAGCAGGGUCUAGUGAACGAACCAGAGUUCGGGCCAACAGUAAGUCUGAAGGAUCACCUGUGCUCCCUCAUGAGCCUUCCAAGGUGAAACCUGAGGAAUCUUCUAGAGACAUCACCCGGCCUAGUCGACCAGCUAGCUAUAAAAAAGCUAUAGAUGAGGAUCUGACGGCAUUAGCUAAAGAAUUACGAGAACUCCGGAUUGAAGAAACAAAUCGCCCAAUGAAGAAAGUGACUGAUUACUCCUCCUCCAGUGAGGAAUCAGAGAGUAGUGAGGAAGAAGAAGAAGAAGAUGGGGAGAGUGAGACACAUGAUGGGACAGUGGCUGUCAGCGACAUCCCCAGACUAAUACCAACAGGAGCUCCAGGGAGCAACGAGCAGUACAAUGUGGGAAUGGUCGGGACACAUGGGCUGGAGACUUCACAUGCGGACACCUUCGGCAGCAGUAUUUCCAGAGAAGGAACCUUGAUGAUCAGAGAGACAGCUGAAGAGAAGAAGAGGGCCGGCCACAGUGACAGUAAUGGCUUUGCAGGUCACAUCAACCUCCCAGACCUUGUGCAGCAGAGCCAUUCCCCAGCUGGAACUCCCACCGAGGGACUAGGUCGUGUCUCCACCCAUUCCCAGGAGAUGGACUCUGGGACAGAAUAUGGUAUGGGAAGCAGCACCAAAGCCUCCUUCACCCCCUUCGUGGACCCCAGAGUGUACCAGACAUCUCCCACUGAUGAAGAUGAAGAAGAUGACGAGUCAUCUGCUGCAGCCCUGUUUACUAGUGAACUCCUUAGGCAAGAACAGGCUAAACUCAAUGAAGCCAGGAAGAUUUCAGUGGUGAAUGUGAACCCAACAAACAUCCGCCCUCAUAGUGAUACGCCCGAAAUUAGAAAAUACAAGAAACGCUUCAAUUCCGAAAUACUUUGUGCAGCUCUGUGGGGUGUAAACCUUCUCGUGGGAACUGAAAAUGGCCUGAUGCUUUUAGACAGAAGCGGCCAAGGCAAAGUCUACAACCUGAUCAACCGGAGGCGGUUCCAGCAGAUGGACGUGCUAGAAGGACUAAAUGUCCUUGUGACAAUAUCAGGAAAGAAGAAUAAGCUGCGUGUUUACUAUCUCUCAUGGUUAAGAAACAGAAUACUGCACAAUGACCCCGAAGUGGAAAAGAAACAGGGCUGGAUCACAGUUGGGGACUUGGAAGGAUGUAUACAUUACAAAGUUGUUAAAUAUGAGAGGAUCAAGUUCUUGGUGAUUGCCUUAAAGAAUGCAGUGGAGAUAUAUGCUUGGGCCCCAAAACCUUACCACAAGUUCAUGGCAUUUAAGUCUUUUGCAGAUCUUCAGCAUAAGCCUCUGCUUGUUGACCUCACAGUAGAAGAAGGUCAAAGGUUAAAGGUCAUUUUUGGCUCACACACUGGUUUCCAUGUAAUUGAUGUUGAUUCUGGAAACUCCUAUGAUAUCUACAUACCAUCCCAUAUUCAGGGCAAUAUCACUCCUCAUGCUAUUGUCAUCUUGCCCAAAACGGAUGGAAUGGAAAUGCUUGUCUGCUAUGAGGAUGAGGGGGUGUAUGUGAACACCUAUGGCCGGAUCACAAAGGAUGUGGUUCUCCAGUGGGGAGAAAUGCCCACAUCUGUGGCCUACAUUCAUUCCAAUCAGAUAAUGGGCUGGGGCGAGAAAGCUAUUGAGAUCCGGUCAGUGGAAACAGGACAUUUGGAUGGAGUAUUUAUGCAUAAGCGAGCUCAAAGGUUAAAGUUUCUAUGUGAAAGAAAUGAUAAGGUAAAUCCGUUUCAACUUUGCUUUAGUGUUUGCAUUUUAAGAGACCACCAGGUACCUGUGAAACCUUCAUUUUCCUUUAUACUGAUGAGUCACAUCUGUGUUAAGAGAUCAAAACUAUCUUGAAAUGGCAUCACUUGGUUUGAUUCAUGUGAACAUUCAGAAUCUAUGACUCAUGCAUCCAAGCUAACAUAAAACAUCUAAAACUUUCUUGUAGACUCUUUGUAACUUUUGUGGCCUGUGGCCCUUCUGGUGAUUAACAACCAUCGCAGACCCUCCUAUGCACUCAGAGUAGCUGGCCCAUCAUUAAUCAUCCCACAGUGGGUCAGCCUUAUGUUUUCACUUUUAGGCCUUUCAUGGGGACACUACUGGGACUUAGCUUUCAUAAUAUAUUUACCCUUUAGUGUAAAACAUUGGACAUGUAGGAAACGAACUUCUAAAAAAUGUCACUCAUUCCUAAGAAAAAUAGUCACAAACUCAACUUCUGCCAUGUCCUGUCUCAUUCCAGCCAUGUGUCUCCAGACAUGUCACAGUGGGGCUACAUUCUAAGACAAGUGACCAUGUCUGUCCAGCAUGAUCAGUCACCCCAUAAGAGUACACUGAAGUGGUCAUGCUCUACCUCACCCUCCCUCUAAGAUGAGUCAGCCUGACAACCAUGUCCCCAAAGCAGCAGAUAUGAAUGCUGUAGGAAAGAAUGUGAUGGGUUGAACUGUUUACAUCUCUUUGUUCACCCCAGUUCCCCUGAAUCCAGAUUGGCCUUUAUCCAACCCUGGUAAUAUGGGCCUGGAUUCUUUGAUUCUGGCUAACUGCUUCUGACCUAAUAUGGUCUAGUGGACAGCAGCUGUGGGAGACAAGGAUGGUUACCAGGGGACUUAUCAGACCAUGUCACACACCAGACUUGACAAGUAAGACUCAACACUUUUACAGGCCUAGAACCUAAGAUGUGAAAUGCCUGGGUGUGGACAAGUACGCUGUGGUUCUUGACAAGGUACUCCAGCAGGCCUGGGCCAGCCCAUACUCCCAGGCUUGAGCCUAUAGUUUAGUCCCUGAACCCACAGCUGGGAACAACAGCAACCCUUUCUUCUCAGCAAACUCUCACUGUCCUCCCCAAUUCGAUUCUCUGGCCUCUUAGAGUAGCUGUGCUUUCCUCUGUAGCAUUAGGUAAUUCCACAAGUUUCUUAAGGAGCCGUAGGAACAAGUAGCGCUGGUGGCACACGCAUUCCUCAGACCACAGACACAGGCUGACUGAAGGACCAUUUCACAGCCCCAAACAAUAUUUUCCUGGGGCAGUGGUUCACUGACAUUCGGCUCAAGCAAGCAGUAAUCUAAAUCUGCUCACUUCUCCCAGGCCUUUGACAAAAUGAAUGAACUGGUUCAGACCUAAUAUUGACUGUGGUUCUGCUUAUUAAUGCCAUUAUCUCCUUCAGCUUGGGAUCUGCCAGCAUCAGCAUAGAGGUCACACGUCAACCCUGAAGCACCAGACUGGAUAGGCCUUAGCCGUCAACCAUAGCCACUCAAAUAUCUUUGUUUUAAGUUUAAAAACCAAACAUUGAAGUUGUACAAACUGCCAAAUUUUGCCCCCAACUUUGGGAAUUUAAAGGGAUUCUCUUUCAUCUGCCUCCAUGUCACUUGCAAGGGAGAGAAAGUUUGUCCCUGUACCUUUGUAGAAAUCAUCACUGUGCCAGGCCGGGAGUCGAGCAAUAAAUUAAAAAAAAAAAAAAAUGUUAGAAAACAUAAUGGCAACAUAGACAGUGCACUGUCUCAAAAGUCAUUAUAAACACAGGCCACAGAAACUUAACUGGCAUGUGGCAAGAAUAGGACAUGUGAGAGAAAAUGGCUGGACAGUUGAAGAAGAGAAGGGGGAAAACAACCCAUGAAGUUGAACUAACUUGUUUUUAAUUCCAAACAGGUCUUUUUCGCAUCCGUGCGAUCUGGAGGAAGUAGCCAAGUGUUUUUCAUGACCCUCAACAGAAAUUCCAUGAUGAACUGGUGACAGAAGAGCACUUGGCACUUAUCUUCAUGGCGUUAUUUCUAAUGCACAAAGCCUCCCCGCACAGAGGUCCCUUCAUUUGGAUUUGUUAGGGUUGAGAAUGGUUGAGAUCCUUCCUGCAGCUGAGGUUACAUGACAACCAUGCUCUGGAACACCAGCCCAAGGGUGCCACUUUGUCAAGAUUUUAAACUGUGACAAAGAAGAAUCACUAAGAAAUAUUUCUGAGCUGCUGUGUCCUCACUGGGUCAAGAGACUAGACUCCUAAGCCUGCACAGACACUGCAGGCUCCAACAGCUCAGGUCUUAGGGAACCUGAAGGCAAGGCUUUGGCCAAAAUUCUGAGAUCCUAAUCAUGUUAUGUUCCUCACAACUUCCCAACAUACUGUUAGCAACAUCUGUGCAGAGGUGUGUGUGUAUUUAGUUCAGGUUGACUUGUGUCUAUAAAACCCUUACUCGAAUGAUUUGAACUUUUAUGUGACUGGCUGGGAUUUUUCCCAAAGCUGUAAGCAUGGCCGCCUAUGGUAUCCAGGUGUUGCGAAAUGGUAUCUGUGCUGUGCUUCCUGUUUUAACCUACCUCGUUUUGUUUGUUUAUGUUUCUCUGUUCGUCACAGCAGUGUUAUCUCCAGGAGACAUAUAGAGAGCUAAAUUCGGCAAUCUCAGCUAUAUUAAAUAUUUUCAAAACAGUAGUUCACCAAAUUGUUCUUUAAAAAUUGGAGGGAGAAAAAAAAACUUCAAUGACAGUCUAAUGAGGUUCGGUUUUAAAGAAUGCAAUUACUGUAAAUGGAUCAAAAAAGAAAAACAAAAACUGUGAUCCUACUGACUUUGCCUAAGCAAAUGAGCAGCUAAUGUACUAUUAAUGAGAACGAAACACAUACUAGGAAAAUGGUUUGGCCAAAGGGGAUGAGAAAGGGAAAUAUUCCGAGACAGGUGAUGGCUAAAGGGGAUGAGAAAGGGAAAUAUUCCAAGAUGGGUGAUGGUCAUUUGCAGUUAUCUGAAGCAGGUAACACUAGGAAUGAAUUGAGGGUGGUCUUCAGGUGAUUACCAGAUGAGCCCUCUAGUUCUCAAAAGCAAUGAAAUCCUCCCGUUCUCAUUUUUACUGCUGGAGUUAUGCUGCUGAUCGACACUGUCUUCGCAAAUUCCAUGGGACAAAUUCAGCAACUACUGGAAUUGGAUGCUGAUAUGGAUUUGGAUCUUGUCUCCAAAUGUGAUUGCCACCAGCUCUUUAUAUUGCUGCUGUGACAGUUUGAACCAGAGGCUUCUUUAAAUUAUGUUGCAAACUGAUCUUUGUUUUUAUGUUUUGUUUUGUUUCAUCCUUAUUUCUAAGUGAUACAUCCGAAACACACAGCUUUAAAUGAUUUUUUAUUGUGGGACUUUGGGUACAGUUAAGAAAUAAAAGGGAAUCAUUGUGUUUAAACAUAAGGUAGUUUGUGAAUGUAUUUUUUAAAAUCUAGAUUCAUUGGAACAAAAAAAAACAUAAGAAAACAUAUUAAUGCCGUCUUGUUUACAGUAUGUACAGUGACAUAACAUAACAUGAGCUUUUUCUGGUGCCAACAAAACAAAAUAAAACACAGACGUUAAACAUCAA